CCCAGAAAUGGGAGAGCCCACCACAGAUUCCCCAGGCACUGCUUCCUCAUAGGAAGACGUGUUGGUGGGAUUGAGGAGGUCUUCGAAGUAUUCCCUCCACCGAUCCACAACAUCUGCAGUCAAGGUCAGCAGAACACCAUCUUCACCAUACACGGUGUUGAUAGUGCACUGCUUCCCCUUCCUGAGGCGGCGGAUGGUGGUCCAGAAUCGCUUCGAAGCCGCCCGGAAGUCGUUUUCCAUGGCUUCCCCGAACUCCUCUCAUGUUCGAGUUUUUGCCUCCGCGACCGCUGAAGCCGCACACCGCUUGGCCUGUCGGUAGCUGUCCGCUGCCUCAGGAGUCUUAUGAGCCAAAAGAACCCGAUAGGACUCCUUCUUCAGCUUGACGGCAUCCCUCACCGCCGGUGUCCACCAACGAGUUGUAGGAUUACCGCCACGACAGGCACCAACUACCUUGCGGCCACAGCUCCAAUCAGCCGCCUCAACAAUAGAGGUGCGGAACAUGCACUGUAAAAAGUCUUUCAGUGGAAUUGUCCAUUCUACUUUAUUUUUAAAAGUAUAUUUAUUCCAAUAAAUCAAUUUAUUUUUAUUUUUAGAGUUUUUGAGUUAUCUCUAAGUAAAAAGUGUGAAUAUUUUCGUAACUUAAUUUUUUAUGUGAUAAAAUUAAUUUUAUUGGACUUCCAACAUAAAUUGAUUUAGCAAAACUCAGUUCAAAGGUUUAUAUCAGACCUAAAACGUCAGGACCCGCCCACCUGCAUGCGGCUGUGGAAGAACAAGCCCAGACACGUUUCUUCACGGAGAACAAGGAAAACACUUUACCGAACUCAUAUGGGAUGGCCCUGUAAGUUGUGCAGCACUGUUGUACCAACCAAGAGUGACAUUUUAAAGCAUUACAGACUGCAACAUGGGACCUUUGGACACAGCCAUUCCUUGCCUUGCAUUCAUGUAGGUUGCCCAUGCUCUUAUACAUCCCUUCGCUCUCAUCUGUCAAGAUGCUAGACUUCUCCUCUCUGACACCACCGCCAGAGAGUCUAGCUCCACUCCCACCACGUUACUGGCCUUCUCUACCAACUUGUCCAGUCUGUUUGCGUCCCUCGCUCUCAGCCCGCUGCCCCAGCAGGCCACGGCGUACAAGAAGGCGCCUGCCACCACCGACUCGUAGAAUAUCUUUUAUUCUAUUCUAUUCUAUUAUCAUUCUAUUUUUCCUGACCAAGUUUCCAUUGUGACUUGGACAUGACAUACUAGACUCACUUUUUGCCUGAAAAUGUAUACUAAUACCCUUAAUAUCAGUAACGGUCAACAUUUGCUGUCUUACAGAUUAAUGAAGCGGAAUCAACAUUUAUGUCCCAACUGGACAGGUACACGCCAAAGCUCCUGGAGCUCUUCAGUGCAAAAGAAGGAGUGACUGCAGUGCAUCAAGAACUUGUUGAUGGAACUGAUACAGGACCCAAGUGCCUCUGCAGUGAAGAAGAGAGAUGUAACUGUGAGAUGCCUCAUAGAGUACAUGGGAGAGAGUGGACAGGAGCUAAUCUCUGACUACUGGAACUGCAGAGACCGCUGUUCAUGAGGACCUGGAAAUGAAGAAUAUGAGCAUCUACAUCUGUCGUGAGCCAAAUGCAGUAGGAAUCAUCAUUGAGGGAGUACCAGUCCUUACUCAUCUUGGAAACCUGGUCAAAGCAUGCUGCCUACUUCUGGGGUUGACGUAUGCACUUAAUCUUGAGUAUCCAUCCAAACUUUCCAAAACAUUUGAGGUGUUUCAAAGACUUUUUGUGGGACUUGACACACUGCGCCCAAAACCAACCCCCAAAUUCAUGACUCUCAAAAACAAGCUUCUAGCUUAGGCAGUGAGCCAUGACUGUCAGCUUGCACUUUUGAACAGCUAUGUUCUUGUGUCUGUUCAAAAUCAUUAUACAUUGUUCAUUGAGUGGAAUUCUUCAGAAUGUUGUAACGGUUUGUCCUGUUCAGGUUUUAUACAAAGCUCCAGGUCAUCGUUUCUGGUGUGUAAAUUAAGUUUUUUUAUGUUUUAUACACACUAAAUUGCCCUACUGUGAAGCUCCAGCUGGUCAGAAGGAGGGAUCUGUGAGUUGUUUAAGUUAAAAUGUUUCAAAAUAUACACACUGAAAGACACUACAGUGAAGGUGUUCUGCUUGUGAAUUGUUACAGAAGUACAGAUAAUCUUAAUGUUAAAUUGUUUUAGCAAGAAACUGUACUGUGAAUGUUCUAAGUAAAACUUGAGAUGCUGAGGUCAUGCAUUCUUUUAUGCACUAAAUACUGAUGUUCUUGACUGUUAAUACUGUCCAGCUUAUUGACAGGUUUGGAUAUGGCUUGUGAAAAUGUUUUAAUAUGUAUACGGUUAAAAAAAGAAAACUACUGUGAAGGUGUUCUAUACAGCACUUUAAAAAGUUGAGGUCAUGCAUUCUUGUAUAAUAUGGAUGUUGACUGUUCAUACUGUCCAGCUCAUUGCCACUGUUUUUAUAUGGUAAUGAUUUAAUAAAGGUUGGAAUUUGA